rnacentral:rRNA from 1 species
CUUUGUGGCAGUCCCCGCUUACAGCCUUGUCUGAUCUCGGAAGCUAAGCAGCGUCGGGCUUCGUUAGUACUUGGAUGGGAGAACGCCUGGGAAUACCAAUUGCUGUAAGCU